rnacentral:tRNA from 1 species
AGGGGUUUAGCUUAAUUAAAGUAGUUGAUUCGCGUUCAGUUGAUGUAAGAUAGAUUCUUGCAACCCUUA